AAUCUACCUCUGACUCGGGGAUAACGUUGCGAAAGCGAUGCUAAUACCGGAUGACAUCAAUAAAACUUUGGUUUUUUUGAUCAAAGGUGACCUCUACAUGUAAGCUUCCGAUUAGAGAUGAACCCGCGUACCAUUAGCUUGUUGGUGGGGUAACGGCCUACCAAGGCUGCGAUGGUUAGCUGGUCUGAGAGGAUGAUCAGCCACACUGGAACUGACACACGGUCCAG
rnacentral:rRNA from 1 species